AACAAACAAAAUAUAUCACAUAAAAUGGUCCAAGUGGACAAAGUGAAAAAGCAUUAGUAUAAACAAUUAGAAUGAUAUGAAUAAUGACAAAUGAAUAGAGCUUAAAAAUUAAAGUGCAUUAAAAUAAAGGACUUGAAAUUAAAUGUUAGUUAUUAAUAAGUUAGAAGUUAGUAUUUCUUUUUUUUGUUUUGUUUUAAGUCAUUCUUUGGAGAACAUUCAACCCACUUAUCACAAGCAUGGAUCCUU
rnacentral:lncRNA from 1 species